rnacentral:rRNA from 1 species
GAUGAACGCUGGCGGCGUGCCUAAUACAUGCAAGUCGAGCGAACGGACGAGAAGCUUGCUUCUCUGAUGUUAGCGGCGGACGGGUGAGUAACACGUGGAUAACCUACCUAUAAGACUGGGAUAACUUCGGGAAACCGGAGCUAAUACCGGAUAAUAUUUUGAACCGCAUGGUUCAAAAGUGAAAGACGGUCUUGCUGUCACUUAUAGAUGGAUCCGCGCUGCAUUAGCUAGUUGGUAAGGUAACGGCUUACCAAGGCAACGAUGCAUAGCCGACCUGAGAGGGUGAUCGGCCACACUGGAACUGAGACACGGUCCAGACUCCUACGGGAGGCAGCAGUAGGGAAUCUUCCGCAAUGGGCGAAAGCCUGACGGAGCAACGCCGCGUGAGUGAUGAAGGUCUUCGGAUCGUAAAACUCUGUUAUUGGGGAAGAACAUAUGUGUAAGUAACUGUGCACAUCUUGACGGUACCUAAUCAGAAAGCCGCGGCUAACUACGU